UACGGGAGGCAGCAGUGGGGAAUAUUGGGCAAUGGGCGAAAGCCUGACCCAGCAAUGCCGCGUGAGGGAAGAAGGUCUUCGGAUUGUAAACCUCUGUCCUUGGUGACGAAGGAAGUGACGGUAGCCAAGGAGGAAGCCCCGGCUAACUACGUGCCAGCAGCCGCGGUAAU
rnacentral:rRNA from 1 species